rnacentral:rRNA from 1 species
CGAAUGCUGACAUAAGUAACGAUAAAGCGGGUGAAAAGCCCGCUCGCCGGAAGACCAAGGGUUCCUGUCCAACGUUAAUCGGGGCAGGGUGAGUCGACCCCUAAGGCGAGGCCGAAAGGCGUAGUCGAUGGGAAACAGGUUAAUAUUCCUGUACUUGGUGUUACUGCGAAGGGGGGACGGAGAAGGCUAUGUUGGCCGGGCGACGGUUGUCCCGGUUUAAGCGUGUAGGCUGGUUUUCCAGGCAAAUCCGGAAAAUCAAGGCUGAGGCGUGAUGACGAGGCACUACGGUGCUGAAGCAACAAAUGCCCUGCUUCCAGGAAAAGCCUCUAAGCAUCAGGUAACAUCAAAUCGUACCCCAAACCGACACAGGUGGUCAGGUAGAGAAUACCAAGGCGCUUGAGAGAACUCGGGUGA